rnacentral:tRNA from 5 species
GCGCGGUUAGCUCAGUGGUAGAGCAUCGCUUUUACACAGCGAGGGUCGGGAGUUCAAAUCUCUCACCGCGCACAA